GGACCCCGCGCGGCGUCUAUCCUGUGAACUCCCCCAGGGCUGGAAGGCAGCAAGGGUCAACGGGCUCUGUCGGGUGCGCGGGGUCCCCUUCAGCCGGGGCACUGACUGGACCUCGGUAUACCCACGGU
rnacentral:SRP_RNA from 3 species